UAUAAACAAUGUUUUUAUUGACAUAAUUAUGUAUUUAAAACAUUUUUUUAACUUAGGGCACACCUGCAAUUAUGUGUGGAUGGAUAAUGACAUCAAGAGUAGUAGACAGGCAUUCUUGGGAGGCCUUUCAAGUGGCUUAAAAAAUCCUCAGAAAGGAAAGAGGCUGAUUAUCACACAUAUAGGGAAUGAAGAUGGUUUUUUAGAAGGCGCAGAUUGGGUUUUUGAAGCAAAAAAGUCAGAUGGCGAUUAUCACGGGGAAAUGGAUGCUCAUAAUUUUGAGAAAUGGUUUAAGAUGGUUUUAGACAAAAUUCUGCCGGGAUCUGUAAUUGUAAUGGAUAAUGCUCCAUACCAUUCUCGCCAACUCGAACGAGUGCCCAACAUGAGCUGGAGGAAGGAUGCUAUACAAGAAUGGUUACGAA